AGGCGUUCUCAGGGCGGGGCGAAAUUCCCCACCGGCGGUGUUUGUUCCCUGCAAGGGGCGCAUAAGUCCGCGAGCGCCCGGCCGCAGGACAUGCGGGCGGGGUCAAGCAGAUCCGGUGCAAUUCCGGAACCGACGGUUACAGUCCGGAUGAGAGAGAACGGAA
rnacentral:ncRNA from 2 species